UACGUAGGGUGCGAGCGUUAAUCGGAAUUACUGGGCGUAAAGCGUGCGCAGGCGGUUCUCCAAGUCCGUUGUGAAAGCCCCGGGCUCAACCUGGGAAUGGCAGUGGAAACUAGGGGACUUGAAUCUGGCAGAGGGGGGUGGAAUUCCACGUGUAGCAGUGAAAUGCGUAGAGAUCGGGAGGAACACCAGUGGCGAAGGCGGCUACCUGGACCAGCACUGACACUGAAGCACGAAAGCGUGGGGAGCAAACAGG
rnacentral:rRNA from 1 species